GGCGGAGCUCGGUGCUCUCCCAGCGCCCCGGGCGGGCGGAGCGGAGCCCUCAGCGGGCCCGGGCCCGGCCGGCCUGCACUGAGCCCCUGUUCCCAGUGCUGGCCAGAGUCACAUCGCGUGUUACUGCCUUUUGACAACGAGCAUGUAGAAACCCAAUCAACAUACAGGUUUGGUGGUGAUGGGACAUCAGAGGAACACUCAGAUGCAUAGAAACAACUGCCAGCAAGAGCAGAAAUGUAAAAAAUAAAUGUGAUGAUGACAGUCUGCCUAGUUCACUAAUUCUGGAGCACACUUCCUGAGGAGAUCUGGCACUCCUGGCUUAAGCUUUGUAUUUGUAUUUGUGUUUGUGUUAGUAUUUGUAUUUGUAUUUGUAUUUGUAUUUUUAUUUGUAUUUGUAUUUGUAUUUGUAAUGCCUGCUUUGGGGUGUGCUUACACUGCUACACAUUUCCUGCUUCCACACAAUGCUAUCUGAGAAACUUGCUACAGCCUUGUACUUAAAAUAGGAAAGAAAUGUCAGGAGUUUGGAUAGAAGAGACUCAAUAGGAGGAAAUAAAGCUCCUAUUUUUAUCCUCUUCUAAAAGACAUCAUAAUGUUUAUAGUUUCUGGCUGAAAUUGUAUAGCUUAGUCUAUUUCUAUAUAUUAAUUUCUUCUUUCAAAAGUCCUAGUAGAAUCUCUGUGCCUUUUUUCAACCACAGCAUAUAUAUGUGUGUAUAUUUACACACUUGUGCAAUUAGAGGAUGUGUUUUUUCUGCAAAAUUUGUUAUGGAAGUUGUAGAGCUGAGAUGAAAUGGCAUAUAAAGUUGUAAAUUUGGCAUGUUGCGACUGGUCUAAAAGUUCUGCUGGGCUUGAGCAUUCUCUUUUAUAAAAAUGUGAUGUGUGUUAAUGAUUUCUUUUAGCUGGUGAUGUGUCUUGCUCAUAAAAUCACAUUCAUGUGGGCCUGAAGCUGUGUAACUUAGCUGUUACAAAAUACACAAACAAGAUGGUGUUUAGGAGGUGGUAAUGUUUUUUAGAGGAUGUACUGCUAUUUCACUUCAGAGGUGCUGAGUCUUCAUCUA